ACACCAACGAAGCAAACAGAAUUGGGAAAGAAGGAGAAUCCCCAAACCCUCACCAAUCUUUGUUCCACCGUAACUUCCUCGUUUGAGCUCCGAUCGCCGCACCGUUUGCGGCCACGCAUCCAUCGCAUCGAGCUCUACCUUCCUAUAGGAUCAAUUUCACUGGUUCAAGUUAGCUUCCGGGGCUUAAUGGGAUCGAGCUAUUGAGCAUAUGGGUACGGUGUAGAUUAAGUGGGUAUAUAUGCAUUAGAAUUGAAUUGGGAGUACUUAGAGGCUUAUUGGUGAACAAGACUUGGUUUGUGGCUAUUUUAUUUGAGCUUGGAGGGGCUGUGUUUUGCUUUGUGAGGCUGCCUUGGGUGAAACAAAGUGAUCGGCCAAGAUGCAGGUCGAGAGGCUCCUCGCUAGGCGUCUGGAUCCUUGAAGCGAAGUAGUUCUUGGGUGUAUUUUGGUUUUCUGUUUGUAUAUAUGUAUAUAUGUAUUUAGCUUACUCUCCAAGUAACUUGGGUAUGCUGCUCCUCUUAGAGGUUGAGGGAGAGUUAGGAGUUUAUUUUGGUGAUACUUAUGUAUGUUUAUAUGUAUAUAUAUAUCCUCUGGCCAGCCUUAGCUUCGCAGGCUGAGUUAGGGGCUAGUUAUGCUGAUUUCUUGGCUUUCCUUUACUC